AAGACGACAACCGCCCGCUGGCGACAGCGGCUUCUUCCUCCAUAGCCUCAGUGCCGCGUUUUGACCUGGAUUUAGUCGUCCGUUGGAGUUCCGUCCUUUAUUAUUUAUUUAUACUUCACUAACAUUGGUGGAUCAGUCUCCCCGCUUCGUUCGCCUGCACAUUAUCACCACCACCAUCAUCAUCGGCUCCGUCUCCUGCACGGAGGAGCCAUGCGAAGCUGCUACUGGUCGUGAUGCGUGUGUUGUAUUUCCCCGCACAUAACCCGCAAGAAUCGCGUUUUGUUUAAAACAUUUCAAAUAGCCCGCACCUCCAUAUACCCCGCAUGCAUUCAUAUCGUUAGCGUCGUCACCGCAGCUUAAUCCCAUCAUAUUAAUACAAAGUAUACGUUUGUGAUACAUUCCACUAUCAAUUGUUAACAUUAAAAUCAUAACGUGUACAAAGAAAACAAACUAACCGGAACCGAGUGAACAAAAACAACUGUAAAUAAGUAACAAAAGUAAAUAUCCAAUAAAUUAGUAACAUAACUGGUAGAUAAGUAAGCGUACUGUGAGGCUUACCAGCAUUCGACCUCAUCAUAUGACAGCUCGUGACCCUUGUAUAGUUUUAGAACUGGGAGAUUGCGCACUGCGCCAUUGCCUCCUGGCAACAAAGCCACUGGAAGUGUGAAACAAAGCUCGUGGUCGCGACUCUAUAGGGCUCAGACAAUAGCAGCGGCCUCAGGGACUCUGCAAUUAUGAUUCCACGUCUGUUCGACGCUUGUUAAGGCCCCUUCCCAUUGUGCCAUCCAUAGCCUCAGCUGAAACUUUCGCAACCCCCUACAGCCGCUGAACGUAUUAAAACAAAGUGCGCCCACUUCAAACAUCGUUUCAGAGUGUCAUUUUUUUGCUGUUGUUUCGUGCGUAUUUCAAGAAAAUUAAAAGUCGCUAUACCGUAGUUAAUUCUAAUUACUUAAAUAACAGUUACGACAAUGCCACCAAAGCGUAAGUCGUACACCGCUGCCUUCAAGCUUCAAGUUUGUAAAUUUGCGGAAGACGAAGGCAACAGAGCUGCGGGAAAGGCGUUUUCUGUCGACGAAAAGUCUGUUCGUGAAUGGAGGAAAAGUAUUGCUGAACUGAAAGCAAUGCAUCCACGAAAACGUGCAAGACGAGGACCGAAAGCAAAGUGGCCACAGUUGGAAGACAACUUGGUCAAGCGAGGAGUGAGGAUGUCUAGAAGGUCGGUGAGCAAGCAGGAAGUCGAAGAACACCCAGGAUGGGAAACAGCACUUGGAGGGGUGUUUUAUUUCCCAGGUCAGAGAGCCAAGAUUGAUAUGAAGGAAGAGGAUGAUGGGACUACUGAAAAAACAAUAAAAAUUAUAAUAGUGGACUUACAGGCUGGCAGAGAAGAUCUGAUCAUUAAAGAGGAAGAUCUUAAUAUCGAUUGCAAAAGAUGUCAAAUUAAAACGGAGGUCCUACUGCCUUGCAGAGAAGAUCAGAUCAUUCAAGAGGAGGAAGAUCUUAAUAUUGAUUGCAAAAAACAUCAGAUUAAAACGGAGGAUUUGCAGGCUUGCAGAGAAGAUCCCAUCAUUAAAGAAGAAGAUGUCACUAUUGACUACAAACAACAGCAGAUUAAAAUGGAGGACCUGCAGGCUAGUAGAGAGGACACGAUCAUAAUACACAAAGACUUUAAUAUCAAUUGCAAACAAUCACAGAUUAAAAAGGCGAAAAUGCAGCCCCAACUGAAUGACUUUGGCAUGCUGUGCGAGGUGAAUCUUUAUCCUGACGGAGGAGUUCUCUGGAGCCCCGCAACCAACCGCGGUUCCACUGUGGUGGCGUCGUCGGGAUUGGCGGAGAUCGAAGUGGUCUUGGAAGAUGAUAACGGUGAGGAGCCGGGAAGGUACACGCAGAGACUUACUAGGACAAAGACAAAUAUCUCCCGUACAGACAAAAACAACGGCAGAAUGUGUGUGUAAUAUAUGUGCAUAAUUAACAUUCAUAAUGAGCAUGCGGAAUGCACAUGCAUAAUGCAAAUACAUAAUACACAUGCUGAACGCACAUAUAUGGUACACAUAUAUGACGUACAUACAUUAUGUUUGUUGAUUAGCUGUGAUUAUCACAACCAAUAACAAGAGGUCCAUUGCAAUUUAUAUAAAUAUACAUUCACCACCACAAUCCAGCCUUUGGUCUUCCCACCUGAUUGGCUCACAAGUGAGGACAUAUCAUUCACCCAGCCCUCUAUUUAAGGCCGAAACAGGAGGAAGAUUUGUUCACAAAACUGGCUGUCACCUGAUAAGGCUGGUUGUAAUUACCGGUAAAACGUCACAUUACUCGAGUUGCAAAUGUUGUGGGUUUAUUCUCCAACACACAACCUGUUAGUGCUUAACUAGUAACUAUAUGGCACCUUUUGUUUACGUGACAAACCCAUUCUCCGAUCAAAACCAUCACCUUACCAUACAUAGCAGGUGUGACCAAAAAGAUCUCCAAAAUUCUAAACAAACAUAAGAUCCAGGUCCGAUUCAGUACAGUACAUAAAAUCCGUGAUCUAAUCCCAUCUGUGAAAGAUGCCAUUCCAGACUUGCAAUACCCUGGAGUCUAUAAACUGACUUGCAUCUGUGGUGAUUGUUACAUUGGGGAAACGAAACGUCAUGUCUCUGAUCGGGUCCGUGAGCACAAGUCAUAUCUGAAACACGGCAAAACUGAUUCUUCUGCCGUUGCUGAUCAUUGUUGCAACGCUGUGAGCGCUCAUGAUAUUGUCUUUUCCGAGACCAAGGUGCUCUGCAAACCUAGCUACCAUCAAAGGUUUGUGCAUGAAGCCAUCCAGAUAUACAAACAUAGACAUAACUUCAACCGUGAUGAUGGGUACACAUUGAGCAAUCAUUGGAAAUAUGUUAUUAACCAUGUAAAAAAGAUUUAACUACGCAUAUUUGUACCAUCUUAUUUGACAGGUACUAGUCUAUUUUACCGAGUUGACAUCCCCAGCGUUUAACAGUGCUGCUAUUUUUUGGUUUUGGAAGCCAACACCGCAGUCCAUGACUGCCACAUUUAGAUAAGCUCCUCCCCCUCCCCGAAACUAGUAUAUAAGAUCUUGUCUCUUGGAUUUCCUUUCACUUGAUACAGUCAAUUUGGCUGUGACGGUCCCACCUGAAGACGGAGACUUGUGUUGCCUCCGAAACGUGAUUUAAUUUAGUUAUUUUAAUUUAUUAUUAUUUUAUUGUAUUAUUAUUAUUAUUUACCCACGUGACUUUACCGAAAAAACCUAAGAGUGAAUCCUUGCAGUCACGAAAGCUUCAAAUCUAGAAUUAAACACAUUUUGAUUGGCAAUGCCAGGUGGUGGUGGCGAGUUUAACGACACAUUCAUAUUUACGUGAUCUAACCCGAAAAAAACCUUUUAUGUAACAGACUGUUGGGGCAAGUGCUGUUAGCGAGCAUCUAUGAAGGCCGGCAAUGUGGCACAUGAGGGGGUGGGUGGCCAACCACCAGCUUGUGUCCAGCUCGCCUUGGUUGUGGCCUAGCUUGUUAAUGCGGUGGUGCUGUGUUAUAUUGCAUCGGCUUUCUUCACUCAUGACCAGUCUGCUGUGGCUUAAGAAGGCUGGCCUCGAUUCAGAAAUCCUCAGUAAUUAUAGUCCAAUUUCCAACCUGACAUCUCUCGUAUAUCAUUGAGCAUUCAGUAGGCUUACAGCUUAAACAUAAUUUGCUCGUAAAUUAUAUUUUCGACCCUUUUCAGUCUGGUUUUAGGUCUGGCCACAGCAUGGAAACGGCUCUGGUUAGGGUUGUCAAUGACUGGCUGGUUGCUGCUGAUGCAGGCAUUCCUAGCAUUCUUGUCCUUUUGGACCUGAGUGCUGCCUUUGACACCAUUGAUCAUUCCAUUUUGCUCGAGCUUUUGGAAGGCUAUACGGAGGUUUCUGGCACUGUUUUGCACUGGUUUACUUCCGACCUAUUUGAGCAUAAACAGUUUGUCAGCCUGGGGGGGAUAAAUUCAGACACAUGUUCAGUUCCUUGUGGUGUUCCCCAGGGUUUAUUCCUUGGCCCACGUUUGUUCUGGAUAUAUUUGGCCCCACUUGGCCAUAUCAUAUGCCAACUUGGACUUUGUUUUCAUUAUCACGCUGAUGACACUCAAAUUUACAUUAAUGUUGAAUCCUCCCUCCAUGCAGCAGCAUCUUGCGUGUUAUUUGCUCUUGUGACCAUUAAUGCAGUCUAACUUUCUUCAGUUAAAAGUUGAUAAGUCCGAGGUACUGUUUGUUGUGUCCCAUCAUCAAUUUUCUAAGGCUGGCUCGGUCAGUGUGUUAAUUAAUGACCACAAUGUUGGUGCUGCUCAGUCUGUUUGCAACGUUGGUGUUGUCCUUGACCCCCCACUAACCUUAAAAGCGCACAUUAACAAGGUCAUUAAGGAUGCCUUUGACCUGAGAAUUAAAGCCAUAUUGCACCCCAUUCUCUCGUUAUCGGACUUCGUUUAUGGACCUUAAGAAGCUGGUUCACGCAUUUCUCUUUUCACACAUCGAUGUUUGCAUCACAUUAUUAGCUACCAUCCCUCUAAAUCUGUUAAACCACCUCCAGCACAUGCAGAAUGUAGCUGCCAGAGUUCACACUGGAACACCGGUUGCUGAGCAUAUUUAUCCCUGUAUUUGAGUCUAUACAUUGGUUACCAGUCAGGUUCCGAGUGGAGUUGAAGAUCCUUCUCACAUACAAGGCCCUAAAUAAUGCCUCCCUCUGACAUCCGUGACCUGUUGUAUAUAUAGGCCUUUUCCCAAAAUUGAUAUUAAGAAUAAUCAAUCGCGGUGUCGCUUGGGGCAAAAGGGGGUGAUGCGAACCCCCUCCCCUCACACAGCAGCUGCCUUUCACACUCAGGACUAGACAAGGAAGUAGCCAUAAAAAGUAAUUUAAAAAACCCGAAAAAAAAGAGAGAGGGAGGGGGGUUACGAAUGAGAUUCUGGGGAAAAUCCCUGCACGGCUUCAAAGGCCACCUCAAAAGCGUAUUGACCGCAGGCGCCACGAGGACAACAGGCAAUUUUUUAAAAUACUAUAGUUUUUUUUAUUUCUCUUAAAACAACGGUAAUAGUUUGAAACUUAGCGACAAGAAUAAGUCGACAUAGUCUGCCAACACACCCAGAUUAAAAACCAGACUGCAGUCACAUGGGUGGCCUUGAAUUAUCAAUUGCCUUAUUUUACUCUCAAUUCACCUCACAUAUUGUUUCUUAUUGUAUCUUCCUAUCUACGUGACUUUACCAAAAGAAUCAAAGAGUAUGGAUUCCAGCAGUCAAGAAAGCUUAAGUGAAAACUUAGUUAUAUCUCUAACCUCAGGACAUCAAAAUAUAACUCGAGUAUAACAGCACGGAUCCCUGGAUACAGACGGGGAACAAAGGUUAAUACAUCCAUAGGAACAUAUGGGGUAAUAACGAUGAUAAAUCACAAAUCUUGGGAAACAUAAACCAAAUAAUAAUUAUGAAGUAGUAGACCGAGGGUCAUCCAGAAGAGAUAGAAGGCGAAAUAGGUCAAUCACACAUGACCAAGAUAAAAUGUAUUCUAUAGAGAAAGCCUCCCAACCGCCUUUGUCUUCCAGAAGCACAUGAUAGCAAUACAAUCACAAAGACAGACUUCGUGAGAGGCAAGAUAAUGUAACACAGCCACGAGGGAAGGAGGGGGGGGGGGAAGAAUCCAACCGGGGAAAAGGAACCCCUCCCUCCAGAGUAAUUAUUACAAAAGUUGAAAAAUAGGAAACACCUAAGGGCAAUUUGGAGCAUCUGUUUUCCACAGAUGAAAAGGUGGCUCGAGGAGAGGGGCAGCAACCAGGCCAGGGUGAGACUUAACAGAUUGCUUAAUACAUCAGAACAUAAACACGUACAACUUCCCCCACAGCAAAGAACGAAAUCAAAGGAAGUUCCGGUCCUUUGUGAGAAGGCGAGCCGAGGGGAGAGAAUUUCACAUAAAAACAGAGACACGACACACACAAUAGAGUGCUGCGAUCGGCAGGCUCCGGGAACCUGCCCCCGUGACUGACACAUCAUCAACGAGCUGCAUCAGCAGAAGCCACGAGUCUACGAAGUCAACGCAAAGUUGAGUACUGCCAGCGGACGAGCAACGAGUGCGAUCGAGCACCUUCAAAGACAAGCGUCGUGCGGACUCAGCUCAUCCAGCAGUAAAAAGAGCCUGCUGCUGCCGUCGAGCGAGACAGAGCGAGGAAGCCGUGUUAGCGCUGGACAACGACCCGGGAAGACGACCGAUCGCAGAUAGCAGCAGCAGGAAGAAACAGCAGCAACAGCAGAAGCUGCGGACUAAAACGUUUGCUUCCCAGAGCCAGAUGAGCUUUCGGCCAAUUCAGCCCAGGACCCACUUCUGCGGAAUGGAAGAAGCAGGGGACACAGGGGGAUGUGGGGGUGACACGGAGCCAUGUCCACAAGCGCUCGGCCGCCCGGGGCCCGGUAAGGAGUUCGCGGCCGGCGGUGGCAGCAAAAAGUUUCGUCGGAGCAGACCGUACAAGUGCCUCUGGUGUCCAGAGGCGUUCACGCUGCGGUCGGCCCUCGUGACCCACGCGCGCUCGCACACGGGCGAGAGGCCACACAUGUGUGCCGUGUGUGGCAAGGGCUUCGAGAAGCCAUCGAAGCUGAGGAGCCACGCGCGCUCGCACACGGGCGAGAGGCCGCACCUGUGCCCCGUGUGCGGCAAGCGGUUCGCGUGGCCGUCGGACGCGAGGCGCCACAUCGCGCUGGACGCCGGCCACAACCCGCUUUGCUGCUCCGUGUGCGGGAAGAACUUCGUGCGCUCGUUGGACCUCUAUGUGCACAUGGCCGGCCACGCAGAGGAGCGGCUGGGUUGACCAAUACUCACUCAGCACUGCCACCCAUAGACUCAACACUACCCAUAGACUCAACACUGCCCAUACUCAGCACUGUUACCCAUAGACUCAGAGUGGCGCAAGCGGUUCUCAGUCAUUAAUUUUAUUGUAGAGAGAGGCGUAGUGGUAGUAGUAGCAGCAGCGCCAUUGUGCCUAUAAAGACGACGUUACCGCAGAGAACCGUAGAGGCACGAUUGGCGUCACUCUACGGUAGCUGGCUCAAAAAAUAUGGGGGCAGCCAUGGUACUGAUAAAAGUUUUUUUUUCUUCUGGUUCUGUUUCGAUGACGUACGUACGUGUAUGUUAUCGGAAUGGAACCGGAAUCAAAACUGAUGACGUACAUGUACGUCGCCCAAAUGGGAAAGGGUUUAAUGGAAUACAAAAAGGAUUUACUGAAAAAUAAUCGUCACAAUAUUUAAACAAAGGCAUUGUUUAAUGUACGCAAACGAAGGGGAGAGGUUGCAAUACAGUAAUGCCUUGCCGACCGUUAAUUUUACCAAAGCGUGAGAUUUGACUAUUUACGCAGAUAUAUUUCUGUACACCCGUUUAACAAACCGCGAGAUUUGAGUACUACGCGGAUGUACUUCUAUACACCCGUUUACCAACCACGAGAUUUUAGUAUUAUGCGGCUGUAUUUCUGGACGUUUACCAACCGAGUGAUACACGCGAACCGAGUCGUGAAAUAAAACAUUUACGCUUCUGCUAAGCAGUCCGCGCCAUCGCGCGGGACUCCCGCUCGUUUCCGCAAGGCAAACCCCCUCUGGGGUCCGUAACUACCACACAAAUCCCUCCCUCUCUGUUCUUUUGCACCUCUGCCAUUGGUCUGAUUCACUCCUCACGCCUCACGAAGUAAUUAUUGCAGGGGUUUGCCACCAGUCCACACAACCGCGGUCUGGAAAUGUGAGCUUCCACGUGGGUAAGCACGGGUGUGCUAAGGAAAUCACAUGACGUUAUGAUGUCAUUGCCACCAAAGCGUGACGUUACAAAUUUUGUGGGGGGCCGUGGCCCUGCUUAGCCGAUCAGCUGCUUGUUUUGUUGCACUGUACAGUACUGUGAAUACCUACAGUACUUACAGCACCGCACGAUACUGUACAGUACAGUGCUGUACAGUUGUACAUUACAACAAUACAGACGGGCAACUCGUGCUGUACAGGACUCUAAAGUGUUAUGCAGAGCUAGACAUUGGUGUAGAGUGCUUACAGUGUUGUCCUGUACAGUACUGUCCGGUACACAUUAAUUUUGCCCCUUGAUCGUGGACUCGCAAACAUGGUAGCUAGUAGAGUGACAUGAGAGUUGGUUGCCUCAGUUAUUACCGGAGGAGGAAGAAGAGGGGGAUCUUAGCCCCCCUCCUGCUUCUAACCAGACCUACCCCCCCACCAUCGUCAUCAUCGUAAUUAUUAAAGGUAUGGGGCCGUCCAUAAAUGACGUCACACCUGGAGGGGGUCAGAUAUUUGUGACGAUGUGUCGCGAGGGGCUUUGAGAAAUGUGACGUCACAUCAAAAUGUGACGUCACAUCAAAAUGUGAAACUUUAAAUAAAUAUAGACAACACGUUCUACUUAAUUAAAUAGACUUGUUAAUAAAUGUUUUCUACAACAUCAGAGUGCAGCGCCACAUUAAAUACGCACUACAAUGACAAUAGUUUAAAGCGAUUUGAAGCAUGCUUUAUUUUUGGGGGGAGGGGGUGGCAGAGCUUUGUGACGUCAUAUAUGAGGGGGGUCUGACUUUGUGACACCGUGUGACGAGGGGGGGGGGGGGUCAAAAAUCGUCCAAAAUCGCGUGAUAUCAUUUAUGGACGGCCCCUAUGUAAAUCUAACGUAAUGUUUAUUUAUGUUUCGUGAUGUUUUUGUGCAAUGCGUCGUAUUUUACUUUGUGUUUAGUUAAGGAACACAGCGCGUUCGUCAAGAUACGACGAGUCGGACCCAUCGCUGUGGUUCCCCUAACCCCCCUAAGUCCAGUAGGCGCUCUGUAACUUCACCAAGCACGUAUUUACCGACCGCGAGGCGUUUUCAUUAACCUAACCACCCGCGGUUGGCGAGGGAUUGCUGUACUUGGAAGUAAAGUGACUCCACUUACGAACGCGUUCGGUUUCAGAGGCUUGUAAGUCGAUUUGUUCCUAAGUCCAACUUCACUCCUGUCGAUUCCAAAGUUGGACAGCGUGUACACUAAACACAGGGAUUGGCAUUAAAAGUUGUAUUACACUGGUAUACAGCCAUAAUUCUUCUGAAAUAAAUGUAGUCCAACUUGACUAACUCUGGGUCACUGAGAAUGUAAAUGAUGCUUGAAAUUGUUGAUUGGCUCUAGUUUUCAAGAUAUAUAUGCUACUGGGUCAGUAUAUACGACCCUUGACUUGGAAAUGGCGGAAGAUAAGUGAGUUAUAAAGGGAAGGGAUCUCAAUUUAAACCAGAAAUGACUAAAAUACAUCUUUCACUGGAGCUACGAAUAAAUAUAUGGCUGGGUUUGGACAGUGCUUGCUUUUUGAGCGGUGGCUCUGCGAUCUUACACGAACAUGCUAAUUAGCAUCACUAGCCCCACCCACUACGUUUAUGACGCUAGGACUACACCCUAUAAAAGUCUGCAUUCAGCAGCUUUCGCCCUCUUUCCUCCUGAAGACGAUCGCUUGUGUUGUGAUCGAAACGUCGUAGUUUCUUGUUUAUUUUAUAUAUUUGUAUUUAUGAAUUUGUACCUACCUACUUGACUUUACCGAAAGACCCAAAGAAUAUGAAUUUCUGCAGUCACGGAAACUUUAAGUCAAGUGAUAUAACCGUCUUAUCUACCAACGGUAGGCAUUUAUAAAUAUGAAACAAAACAACAAAGCACUCAAAUGCUGUCCCCAUGACCCACAAGUCAACACUACACAACUCCUUUAACACUGUAAAAGCCUAGAGAACAAUUAAAGAUCAGCUGACACGACUAAACAAAUUAGCCAAGGCAACCAAGACACCACAUACUGUACAAUCACAGCCACACGCCUUUGUAGACCCACCUACACAAAAAGCUUUGAUCUGUAUUCACUGGCGACAAUACAAUGUACACGGGCCUACUAUUUACUUCACUUAGAGCUUGUUUCGUUGUGUGGUCACUGUUUGUCUCACUGUUUAUCUGUGGCAACUGUAACAUCACUUUACACUGACUACAUUGUCGAAUGGAAAGCCAGGCCUAUACUGACAGCCUACACAUUUGAUUUUGGGUUUAAGCCCGAUUAAGUGCAAUGUAACACAUGUGUCUGGUUUUAAAGCCACAUGAGUGCUAUUUGUCUACAUCAGGGGUGGGUAAUCUUUUUUCUGCCAAGGGCCAUUUGGAUAUUUAUAACAUCAUUCGCGGGCCAUACAAAAUUAUUAACUUAAAAAUUUGCCUGUUAUAUUUGGUCAAACAUUUAAUUAACUCACCCCUAAUGUGAUGGCUGGAACUGCUUUUCUUUGGUGAGGCGUGUGAUGUUAGUUGGUAUUUAUGAUGUUGCUACUCGCAACUGCUUUUCCAGGUUUGCUCCUAGAUUUAUUGAAUUUCGAGUCCCGCCUGCGGUUGCUUUGGCAGGGCCAGACCAAAUGAUUUUGCGGGACUUAUACGGCCUGCGGGCCGGACGUUUCCCACCCCUGGUCUACAUGCUUAACCUAUUUAAACCAACCUGUUAAAUUGCCAUUACAUAAUUUAAAAUUGCUUAUUGCACAUAAUAUCCCCAAGAUGGGCUACUCACAAUAGUAGGCUCCCUUUCCUCUCCAAUGGCCUAUUUGUACAAGUGU